AACAGCUGUAUCUAUAUCGGUCACAAUAUAUUUCUUAAAUCUAUUAAUUUUGUUGUAUUUUGUUUUAUUUUGAAAAAUAAAACUAGAGCAUAUUAAGAAGUCAGCGCCUUCAAAUUCUAAUCCGUAUCGACGGACGGCAUGGCGCUGUCACUUAGUCCACGUUGCUAGAAAGAGACAGCCGGAGGCGCGAAGAACCAAACAAAUGUUCGGGGAUCCGGCUCAGUACCGAGAUUCCCUCCUCGAGGAAGGCACGACGCGAUCGAGGCUGAGUCGAUCUCACGUCGCGCGUCAACAAAAAUAAAAACCCAUCUGUUCAAAUAUUGUGCAAGUUUUUUAUUGUUUCCUCCAAAACAAGUGCAGAGAAUGUGCGUGUUUGGGUCGCAGUCUAGUCUUGACUCGUGAAGAUCCUUAGUUCCAUUCUUAUUAUUUUGUGUUCGCAAAGUGAUCGAGUGGUUUUUGUUUUUGUAUCGUGUGUUGUGAAUGGAUUUGUAAAACUCGAUUAUGAAGGCGGAUGCGUCGUAAGG